UGAGGAAUCUUCCACAAUGGGCGAAAGCCUGAUGGAGCAACGCCGCGUGCAGGAUGAAGGCCUUCGGGUCGUAAACUGCUUUUAUCUGUGAUGAAUAUGACAGUAACAGAAGAAUAAGCACCGGCUAACUACGUGCCAGCAGCCGCGGUCAUACGUAGGGUGCAAGCAUUAUCCGGAGUGACUGGGCGUAAAGAGUUGCGUAGGUGGUUUGUUAAGUGAAUGGUGAAAUUUAGUGGCUCAACCACUAAACUAUUAUUCAAACUAACAGACUCGAGAGUAGCAGAGGUAACUGGAAUUUCUAGUGUAGGAGUAAAAUCCGUAGAUAUUAGAAGGAACACCAAUGGCGUAGGCAGGUUACUAGGCUAUUUCUGACACUAAGGCACGAAAGCGUGGGGAGCAA
rnacentral:rRNA from 1 species